UCUACGGGAGGCAGCAGUGAGGAAUAUUGGUCAAUGGACGAGAGUCUGAACCAGCCAAGUAGCGUGAAGGAUGACUGCCCUAUGGGUUGUAAACUUCUUUUAUAAAGGAAUAAAACGAUACACGUGUGCCUUUUUGCAUUUACUUUAUGAACAAGGAUCGGCUCACUCCGUGCCAGCAGACGCGGUAAUACGGUGGAUCCGAGCGUUAUCCGGAUGUAUUGGGGUUAAAGGGAACGUAGAUGGGUUGUUAAGCAAGUUGUGAAAGUUUGCGGCUCAACCGUAAAAUUGCAAUUGAUACUGGCAGUCUUGAGUACAGUUGAGGUAGGCGGAAUUCGUGGUGGAGCGGUGAAAUGCUUAGAUAUCACGAAGAACCCCGAUUGCGAAGGCAGCUUACUAAACUGUGACUGACAUUGAUGCUCGAAAGUGUGGGUAUCAAACAGGAUUAGAUACCCCAGUAGUC
rnacentral:rRNA from 1 species